CGGUACUUCAAACUUGGCGAGGAGCUGAAGCAUAAGCUUAUUCAGAUUUAUAUAGAUUGCUUUGGAAACAAGUGGUACCCUAUCAAUGGUCGUUGUACAACGAUGAGGACGACGUUGUAUUGUGUGUACAAUAAUUAUAUAAAAGUUUGUGACCGGGGUAGAAAACCAUUGGACGUUAACGUCAAGAGCGAAGAGGAAGGAAUAGUAGGAGAAAUUGUGGGCAUGGGAUUAUCUUGAAGCUUACCGGAAGCGCCGGCCAGAAAAUUAAUUUAAGCAAAAUAUUCAGCUUGUUCAAAUUGUAACAUAAAUACGAGAAGGAAUGUGUACUGGAAGACAUGUAUUGGUAAAUACGUCAGUUUACAAACGGGUGGGUACAUAUGUGGCAAAAGGAGGAUUUAUCAGAUUAGUACUUAUGUUCUAAAGAUAAAUUAGCAAAAAAAUGUCGCCAUUAAAUUAUGGAGAGAGUUCCUUACGACGCUGGUUGAAAAUUCAUGCGAAAAAUAAUAAAC